AGUCGAGCGGUAGAGAGAAGCUUGCUUCUCUUGAGAGCGGCGGACGGGUGAGUAAUGCCUAGGAAUCUGCCUGGUAGUGGGGGAUAACGUUCGGAAACGGACGCUAAUACCGCAUACGUCCUACGGGAGAAAGCAGGGGACCUUCGGGCCUUGCGCUAUCAGAUGAGCCUAGGUCGGAUUAGCUAGUUGGUGGGGUAAUGGCUCACCAAGGCGACGAUCCGUAACUGGUCUGAGAGGAUGAUCAGUCACACUGGAACUGAGACACGGUCCAGACUCCUACGGGAGGCAGCAGUGGGGAAUAUUGGACAAUGGGCGAAAGCCUGAUCCAGCCAUGCCGCGUGUGUGAAGAAGGUCUUCGGAUUGUAAAGCACUUUAAGUUGGGAGGAAGGGUUGUAGAUUAAUACUCUGCAAUUUUGACGUUACCGACAGAAUAAGCACCGGCUAACUCUGUGCCAGCAGCCGCGGUAAUACAGAGGGUGCAAGCGUUAAUCGGAAUUACUGGGCGUAAAGCGCGCGUAGGUGGUUAGUUAAGUUGGAUGUGAAAUCCCCGGGCUCAACCUGGGAACUGCAUUCAAAACUGACUGACUAGAGUAUGGUAGAGGGUGGUGGAAUUUCCUGUGUAGCGGUGAAAUGCGUAGAUAUAGGAAGGAACACCAGUGGCGAAGGCGACCACCUGGACUGAUACUGACACUGAGGUGCGAAAGCGUGGGGAGCAAACAGGAUUAGAUACCCUGGUAGUCCACGCCGUAAACGAUGUCAACUAGCCGUUGGGAGCCUUGAGCUCUUAGUGGCGCAGCUAACGCAUUAAGUUGACCGCCUGGGGGAGUACGGCCGCAAGGUUAAAACUCAAAUGAAUUGACGGGGCCCC
rnacentral:rRNA from 1 species